rnacentral:rRNA from 1 species
GAUGAACGCUAGCUACAGGCUUAACACAUGCAAGUCGAGGGGUAACGAGAGGAAAGCUUGCUUUCCUUGUCGACGACCGGCGCACGGGUGAGUAACGCGUAUCCAACCUGCCCCCAACUAGGGAAUAACCUUGCGAAAGUAAGACUAAUACCCUAUAAUUUCCUCAGAUGUCAUCUGACGAGGAAUAAAGAUUUAUCGGUUGUGGAUGGGGAUGCGUCUGAUUAGCUUGUUGGCGGGGUAACGGACAACCAAGGCAACGAUCAGUAGGGGUUCUGAGAGGAAGGUCCCCCACAUUGGAACUGAGACACGGUCCAAACUCCUACGGGAGGCAGCAGUGAGGAAUAUUGGUCAAUGGGCGGAAGCCUGAACCAGCCAAGUAGCGUGCAGGAUGACGGCCCUAUGGGUUGUAAACUGCUUUUAUACAGGAAUAAAGUUAGCCACGUGUGGUUAUUUGUAGGUACUGUAUGAAUAAGGACCGGCUAAUUCCGUGCCAGCCGCCGCAGUAA